AUCAAAGUUGUUGCAGUUAAAAAGCUCGUAGUUGAAUUUCUGGAAGGUAGAAGUGUUUUUUUAGAGAAGCAAUUUUUUAUAAAAGACACCGCUUUCCAUUUUGUGGAUUUCUGUUUUGUAUGAAGAUAGUUUACUCUAUUUUUGUAUAAAAUACCACUCCGUCACUGAGAGCAAAUUGGAGUGCUCAAAGCAGGCUUUAUUAGCUUUGAACAUUUUAGCUUGGAAUGACAAGAUAUGACUUUUGUUUUAUUUUGUUGGUUAUGAAAUAAAAGUAAUGAUUAACAGGAACAGUUGCGGGGGUACUCGUAUUGAAAGGUCAGAGGUGAAAUUCUUGGAUUCUUUCAAGACGAACGACUGCGAAAGCAUUUACCAAGGAUGUUUUCAUUAAUCAAGAACGAAAGCUCGGGGAUCGAAGAUGAUUAGAUACCAUCGUAGUCCGACGCCAUAAACGAUGCCGACUCGGGAUUAUUUUGUUUGUUUAAAUUAAAAAAGAACACAAAGUAGCACCGUAUUAGAAAUCAAAGUCUUUGGGUUCCGGGGGGAGUAUGGUCGCAAGGCUGAAACUUAAAGGAAUUGACGGAAGGGCACACCAGAGGUGGAGCCUGCGGUUUAAUUUGACCCAACACGGGGAAACUUACCAGGUCCAGACAUGAUGAGGAUUGACAGUUUGAAAGCACUUUCUUGAUUUCAUGGGUGGUGGUGCAUGGCCGUUCUUAGUUGGUGGAGUGAUUUGUCUGGUUGAUUCCGAUAACGAACGAGACGGGGUGAAUUUACUAGUUUGUUAUAUAAUUUACGUUAUAUAAGACUUCUUUAUUCGACAACUUGGUUUUACCAAGAGGAAGCGCCCCGCAAUAACAGGUCUGUGAUGCCCUUAGAUGCUCUGGGCUACACGCGCGCUACAAUGACGAAUUCAACGAGUUUAAAAUUUAUUCCUUAUCCGGAAGGAUGUGGGUAAUCUUUCCAAUAUUCGUCGUGAUGGGGCUAGAUUUUUGCAAUUAUUAAUCUUCAACGAGGAAUCUCUAGUAUGUGCAAGUCAUCAGCUUGCGCAGAAUGCGUCCCUGCCCUUUGUACACACCGCCCGUCGCACCUACCGAUUGGACGAUCCGGCAAGAUGUUUGGAGUUGUUUUGAUUGUAGAGUAAUUUAUGAUGAAAAUGACAAAGCUCUUCAAACCUUAUCGUCUAGAGGAAGGUGAAGUCGUAACAAGGUCUCCGUAGGUGAACCUGCGGAGG
rnacentral:rRNA from 1 species